GCAGGGAAGGUCUGGCAAAUCCUCCAAAAGAGUCACUCCAGCUUUGGCAAAUUUUUCCCCUUCAGUUCAGCAAAAAAGGGGGAAUUCUGCUUUUUUUUGCCUUCUGCUUUUUUAUUUUUAUUUUAUUUUUAUUUUUUUUUUGGUUUGGGGUGGAGAGGACACUUAAAGAACUCGACACCGUUUGAAGUUCAUUUUGUUCUGCAGAAAUCUUUGGAUUUGAUGUAACCAAACAACUCACAUAGCCCAAAGGGCGAAGUGGGAAGCAGACAGGGAGAAACUGAGCCAGACGUGGACAAAGGCAGGAGCCUUCAGCAGACAGCCCAGGUCGCUCUGGAGGCCAGCCCCGGAGGAGACAGGUACCUAAAUACAGCUGAUGUGCCCACCACCCAAGGCUCCAAAUCAGUUCUGAAAAGCUAACCCUUCCUUUUUGCAUUUGGGAUGUUUGCAAUGGUAGAUGUUUUGGAAGGCUGGGUUUUGUCUCCGAGCCUCUCAGAAGAAACUCAGGGGCAGGAAGAAGAUGGGCUGAGAACAGCAAAGCUGAUGGAGAUGGACUUGCCUCUUGUCAGUGCUUCUGGAAAUACUUCACCUGGCUAUCUGUCUCCUUCCUUUCCCCAUUUCUUCAAUUUUUUUUUGGCUAGUGGAAAUGGUGCCACAGAUGCCCAUGAAAAGAGACUUCCUGGCAACCAACAAGGAGAGCAGCACUAGCCGAAAUCCUACAUAGCAAAAUCAUCACAUGUUAAGAGUGAAAACCCUGCACAGAGCUGACACGUAGCCUGCCUAAAAGAAUCCAUCAAAAGCAACCAGGAGACUUACCCGUUCAUGAAG